GUAUAUCACUAUAUUUGGUGUGU
rnacentral:siRNA from 1 species